rnacentral:snRNA from 1 species
ACACCUAGCUGGCCAGAGGAGAUACCAUGAUCACCAAGGUGGUUUUCUCAGGGCGAGCCUUAUCCAUUGAACUCCAGAUGUGCUGUGCUGACCCCUAUGAUGUCCCCAAAUGCAGAAAACUCAACUGCCUAAUUUGUGUCAGUGGGGACUGAGUUUGUGUUUUUUUCUGA